GGCUUGUGGCUCAGAGGUAGAGCGCUCGCCUAGCAUGCGUGAGACACUGGGUUACGGGGUUGGAUCCUCAGCACCA
rnacentral:tRNA from 1 species